rnacentral:rRNA from 2 species
AGGUUAAGUUAACAAGGGCGCAUAGUGAAUGCCUUGGCACUAGGAGCCGAUGAAGGACGGGACUAACACCGAUAUGCUUCGGGGAGCUGUACGUAAGCUAUGAUCCGGAGAUUUCCGAAUGGGGCAACCCAGCAGUUUUAAUCAACUGUUACCACUAGAUGAAUUCAUAGUCUAGUUGGAGGUAAACGCUGUGAACUGAAACAUCUCAUUAGCAGCAGGAAUAUAAAGAAAUUUCGAUUCCCUAAGUAGCGGCGAGCGAACGGGGAACAGCCCAAACCAAAGUGCUUGCACUUUGGGGUUGUAGGACUGAACAUUUGAGUUACCAAAGAACUUGAUAGUCGAAGGAUUUGGGAAAAUCCGCCAUAGAUGGUGAUAGCCCAGUAGAUUAAAUCAAAUUCUCUCAGUUCAGGAUCCUGAGUACGGCGGAACACGUGAAAUUCCGUCGGAAUCCGGGAGGACCAUCUCCCAAGGCUAAAUACUACCUAGUGACCGAUAGUGAACCAGUACCGUGAGGGAAAGGUGAAAAGCACCCCGGGAGGGGAGUGAAAUAGUUCCUGAAACCAUGUGCCUACAAUAAGUCAGAGCGCGUUAAUGCGUGAUGGCGUGCCUUUUGUAGAAUGAACCGGCGAGUUAUGAUCCCGUGCAAGGUUAAGACUAAAAAGUCGGAGCCGUAGCGAAAGCGAGUCUGAAAUGGGCGUUUUGAGUACGAGGUUAUAGACCCGAAACCAGGUGACCUAUCCAUGUCCAGGUUGAAGGUGCGGUAAAACGCACUGGAGGACCGAACCCGUGUAAGUUGAAAAUUGCUGGGAUGAGGUGUGGAUAGCGGUGAAAUUCCAAACGAACUUGGAGAUAGCUGGUUCUCUCCGAAAUAGCUUUAGGGCUAGCCUCGGAAUUAGGAUCAUGGAGGUAGAGCACUAUUUGGACUAGGGGCCCGUCUUGGGUUACUGAAUUCAGAUAAACUCCGAAUGCCAUUGAUUCAUAUCCGGGAGUCAGACGAUGAGUGAUAAGAUCCACCGUCGAAAGGGGAACAGCCCAGACCAUCAGUUAAGGUCCCUAAAUGUAUGCUAAGUGGAAAAGGAUGUGGAGUUGCAUAGACAACUAGGAUGUUGGCUCAGAAGCAGCCACCAUUUAAAGAGUGCGUAAUAGCUCACUAGUCGAGUGAUCCUGCGCCGAAAAUGUACCGGGGCUAAGCAUACUACCGAAACCAUGGAUGCGACCAUUAGGUCGCGUGAUAGGAGAGCGUUCUAAGGGCGGUGAAGCAAGAUCGUGAGGACUUGUGGAGCGCUUAGAAGUGAGAAUGCCGGUAUGAGUAGCGAAAGAUAGGUGAGAAUCCUAUCCACCGAAUGACUAAGGUUUCCUGGGGAAGGCUCGUCCUCCCAGGGUUAGUCGGGACCUAAGUCGAGGCCGAGAGGCGUAGACGAUGGAUAACAGGUUGAGAUUCCUGUACUAGUUAAGUGCGUUUGAGCAAUGGAGGGACGCAGGAGGCUAAGAUGUGCAUUCUGUUGGAUUAGAAUGUCCAAGCAGUAAGUCUUGUGAAGAGUCAAAUGCUUUUCACUUUAAGGACAAGCUGUGAUGGGGAGCGAAAUUUAGUAGCGAAGCGUCUGAUGUCACACUGCCGAGAAAAGCUUCUAGUGAGUACUUAACUACCCGUACCGCAAACCGACACAGGUAGUCGAGGAGAGAAUCCUAAGGUGAGCGAGUGAACUCUCGUUAAGGAACUCGGCAAAAUGACCCCGUAACUUCGGGAGAAGGGGUGCUGAUCGCAAGAUCAGCCGCAGUGAAUAGGCCCAGGCGACUGUUUAUCAAAAACACAGGUCUCUGCAAAAUCGUAAGAUGACGUAUAGGGGCUGACGCCUGCCCGGUGCUGGAAGGUUAAAAGGAUGGGUUAGCUUCGGCGAAGCUCAGAAUUGAAGCCCCAGUAAACGGCGGCCGUAACUAUAACGGUCCUAAGGUAGCGAAAUUCCUUGUCGGGUAAGUUCCGACCCGCACGAAAGGCGUAACGAUCUGGGCACUGUCUCAACGAGAGACUCGGUGAAAUUAUAUUGUCCGUGAAGAUGCGGACUACCCGCGACAGGACGGAAAGACCCCAUGGAGCUUUACUGUAGCUUGAUAUUGAGUGUUUGUACAGCUUGUACAGGAUAGGUAGGAGCCAUAGAAACCGGAACGCUAGUUUCGGUGGAGGCGUUGGUGGGAUACUACCCUCGCUGUAUGACCACUCUAACCCGCACCACUAAUCGUGGUGGGAGACAGUGUCAGGUGGGCAGUUUGACUGGGGCGGUCGCCUCCUAAAAAGUAACGGAGGCGCCCAAAGGUUCCCUCAGAAUGGUUGGAAAUCAUUCGCAGAGUGUAAAGGCACAAGGGAGCUUGACUGCGAGACAGACAGGUCGAGCAGGGACGAAAGUCGGGCUUAGUGAUCCGGUGGUACCGUAUGGAAGGGCCAUCGCUCAACGGAUAAAAGCUACCCUGGGGAUAACAGGCUUAUCUCCCCCAAGAGUCCACAUCGACGGGGAGGUUUGGCACCUCGAUGUCGGCUCAUCGCAUCCUGGGGCUGUAGUCGGUCCCAAGGGUUGGGCUGUUCGCCCAUUAAAGCGGUACGCGAGCUGGGUUCAGAACGUCGUGAGACAGUUCGGUCCCUAUCCGUCGCGGGCGUAGGAAAUUUGAGAGGACCUGUCCUUAGUACGAGAGGACCGGGAUGGACAUACCUCUGGUGUACCAGUUGUGCCGCCAGGCGCAUCGCUGGGUAGCUACGUAUGGAUGUGAUAAACGCUGAAAGCAUCUAAGUGUGAAACACACCUCGAGAUGAGAUUUCCCAUUCCUUUAUGGAAGUAAGACCCCUGAAAGAUGAUCAGGUAGAUAGGUUAGAAGUGGCAGUGCGGUGACGCAUGAAGCGGACUAAUACUAAUCGGUCGAGGACUUAACCAAG